GAUGAAGAACGUAGCUAAAUGCGAUACGUAAUGUGAAUUGCAAAUUCAGUGAAUCAUCGAGUCUUUGAACGCACAUUGCGCCCCCUGGUAUUCCGGGGGGCAUGCCUGUCCGAGCGUCAUUGCUGCCCUCAAGCACGGCUUGUGUGUUGGGCCCCGUCCUCCGAUCCCGGGGGACGGGCCCGAAAGGCAGCGGCGGCACCGCGUCCGGUCCUCGAGCGUAUGGGGCUUUGUCACCCGCUCUGUAGGCCCGGCCGGCGCUUGCCGAUCAACCCAAAUUUUUAUCCAGGUUGACCUCGGAUCAGGUAGGGAUACCCGCUGAACUUAAGCAUAUCAAUAAGCGGAGGA
rnacentral:misc_RNA from 1 species